GAUGAAUGCUGGCGGCGCGCCUAACACAUGCAAGUCGAGCGGUAACAUGGACUUCGGUCUGAUGACGAGCGGCGGACGGCUGAGUAACGCGUGGGAACAUGCCCCAAAGUGAGGAAUAACUGCCCGAAAGGGUGGCUAAUGCCGCAUAUGAUCUUCGGAUUAAAGGAUUUAUCCGCUUUGGGAGUGGCCUGCGUACGAUUAGGUAGUUGGUGAGGUAAUGGCUCACCAAGCCUACGAUCGUUAACUGGUCUGAGAGGAUGAUCAGUCAGACUGGAACUGAGACACGGUCCAGACUCCUACGGGAGGCAGCAGUGAGGAAUCUUCCACAAUGGGCGAAAGCCUGAUGGAGCGACGCCGCGUGCAGGAUGAAGGCCUUCGGGUUGUAAACUGCUUUUAUAAGUGAAGAAUAUGACGGUAACUUAUGAAUAAGCACCGGCUAACUACGUGCCAGCAGCCGCCGUA
rnacentral:rRNA from 1 species